GCGCCCGUAGCCCAGGGGAUAGGGCGUCAGCCUCCGAAGCUGGAGAUCGCAGGUUCGAAUCCUGCCGGGCGCGCCA
rnacentral:tRNA from 2 species